UCAGUAUUGAUUGAAAAGUAGCCGUGUGGUAAGGAACUUGAUUUCCAACCACGUGGUUCCGAGUUCAGUCCCACUUCAUGGCAUCUUGGGCAAGUGUCUUUUACUAUAGCCUAGGGUCGACCAAAGCCUUAUGAGUGGAUUGGCUAGAUGGAAACUA